CGAAUGCGGCGCUGCUAAGAAAUGCAGUCGAACGGAGGGAGCAAUCCCUUAGUGGCGAACGGUCGCGUAACACGUCAUUUACCUGCCCACGAGUGGGGGACAACAGGCUGAAAAGUCCCUUAAUACCGCAUACGCACCUUUGGUGGCAUCACCUUGGGUGUAAAGCUUUAUGUGCUUGUGGAUGGGCUUGCGGCCUAUCAGAUAGUUGGUGGGGUAAUGGCCUACCAAGUCGACGACGGGUAGCUGGUCUGAGAGGGCGAUCAGCCGGAUUGGGACUGAGAUACGGCCCAGACUCCUACGGGGGGCAGCAAUUAGGAAUCUUGCACAAUGGGGGAAACCCUGAUGCAGCGACGCCGCGUGCGGGAUGAAGGCCUUCGGGUCGUAAACCGCUUUUGACAGGGAAGAAGAAUGUGACGGUACCUGUCGAAUAAGCCCCGGCUAACUACGUGCCAGCAGCCGCGGUAAUACGUAGGGGGCGAG
rnacentral:rRNA from 1 species